rnacentral:Y_RNA from 1 species
GGCUGGUCCAAUGCUAGUGGGUUAUCAGAACUUACUAACAUUAGUGUCACUAAAGCUGGUAUACAACCCCCCAACUGCUAAAUUUGACUGGCUAAAA